AUUGAACGCUGGCGGCAGGCCUAACACAUGCAAGUCGAACGAGUGGCGGACGGGUGAGUAAUGUCUGGGAAACUGCCUGAUGGAGGGGGAUAACAACUGGAAACGGGAGCUAAUACCGCAUACCAUCGGCGCUGCCCAGAUGGGAUUCGCUAGUUGGUGUGGUAACGGCUCACCUAGGCGACGAUCCCUAGCUGGCCUGAGAGGCUGAUCAGCCACACUGGAACUGAGACACGGCCCAGACUCCUACGGGAGGCAGCAGUAGGGAAUCUUGGACAAUGGGCGAAAGUCUGAUACAGCCACGCCGCGUGUAUGAAGAAGGUUUUCGGGUUGUAAAGCACUGUUAUUAGGGAGGCGUUAUCUAAACAAGAAGCACCGGCUAACUACGUGCCAGCAGCCGCGGUAAUAC
rnacentral:rRNA from 1 species